rnacentral:sRNA from 1 species
AACUUACAAGAACAUCUCUCUGGUUUGCACCCAAAAAAAUAUUUUGUUGUUUAAAAUAUGAGCAAUAAAUUUCCAAACUUCGUGGAUAUGGAUAUAUCUUCAUUGGACAAUUUUACUAGUCAUAUGACUAACAUUUAGUGAACCAAAAGUAUGUACAAAAAGUGAUAGAACUUGAUUACGCAGGUAAACGAAGCAAAAGAAAUUUCUUCAGCUGGGAAAAGAGACUUCGUAUAGCAGUGGAUGCAGCCUCAGGAUUGGAGUAUCUGCAAAAUGGUUGUAAGCCACCAAUAUUCCACAGAGACAUAAAAGCUACAAACAUCUUGUUGAAUGAACAACUCCAAGCAAAAUUAUCUGAUUUUGGUCUAUCCAAAAUUAUCCUAACUGAUGGGGAAACUCAUGUUUCAACUGUUAUUGCUGGUACUCCUGGUUAUCUAGACCCUGAAUACUACCUAACCAAUAGAUUAACAGAGAAGAGCGACGUUUAUAGCUUUGGUGUUGUGCUUUUAGAGAUAAUCACAAGUCAACCAGUGAUAGCGAAGAAUCAAGAAAAAACACAUAUAAGUGAAUGGGUUAGGUCUUUGAUUGCAAAAGGUGAUAUCAAUGCCAUUGUUGAUUCAAGGUUGGAAGGAGACUUUGACAGUAACUCAGUUUGGAAAGCUGUAGAAAUAGCAACGGCAUGUGUAUCUCCAAAUCCCAACAGAAGGCCAAUCAUAAGUGUGGUGGUGAAUGAACUGAAGGAGUCUUUAGCAAUGGAAUUAGCUCGAACUGAAGAUAGAAGCACCAAUACAAGUUAUUCAGUUAAACAGGUCAUCAGGAAUCUGAAUACAGAAUCUCUUCCCCAGGCCAGAUAAACGGUUGCCCAAUGUAAGAUGAUUAUAGUCAUACUGUAAUGUACCACUUGAGAUUGUUUGAAGAUGAACAUUGGUAGGAUUGAUUGGUGAGUGAAAUGGAGUUGCAAAUAGAAGAAAAUAAAUAAAUAAUCAGUAAUGAAUUUCAAUUUGCCAUUGGUGUUAUUUUUGCUUGCGUUCUUAUUCCGA